rnacentral:rRNA from 1 species
GGCAUGCCUUACACAUGCAAGUUCGAACGGCAGCACGGGGGCAACCCUGGUGGCUUAGUGGCGAACGGGUGAGUAAUACAUCGGAACGUGCUCCUGAUAGUGGGGGAUAGCCCGGCGAAAGCCGGAUUAAUACCGCAUACGCUCUACGGAGGAAAGGGGGGGAUCCUAGGACCUCUCGCUACAGGGGCGGCCGAUGGCAGAUUACCUAGUUGGUGGGGUAAAGGCCUACCAAGGCGACGAUCUGUAGCUGGUCUGAGAGGACGACCAGCCACACUGGGACUGAGACACGGCCCAGACUCCUACGGGAGGCAGCAGUGGGGAAUUUUGGACAAUGGGGGCAACCCUGAUCCAGCAAUGCCGCGUGUGUGAAGAACGCCUU